GAAUCAGGCACAGGGCUCACAGCAGACAGCUCUAGGAGCGGUGGGGAUAGUGGCCUACGCCUCUUUCUUCUUGUCGGCAGUCGGUGAAGAUUCGAACAGUGUUCUUUAUGUGGGAUUGAAAGAGAAAGAGAAAGACAAAGGCUGUGUAGAUAAUCAUCAUCAUGUUUCGCUUACAUUGGACCCAUUCGCCGUAAGAGAUUUUGAUCCUUUUCUAUUGAUUAUUAAAUGGGAGUUCUGAACUCUUUUUGUUACAUGAUUUGGCAAUUAUUUGUUGUAGAACAUAUGGUAACAAUUUUAUGUAUUAGAUUUCAU